ACUACGUUUCCAAUAUGGACAGUUAAUACUACACAAGAUAUAGGGAGGGUGAUAUGCAAAGUGGAUAGAGUGAGAAAUAUAACCAAGGAUGCAGUCUACUUCAACAGAUCUCAUGAGGACGAGCACACGAAAGAGCGAACAAACAACCUCCUGAAAGGAUUAUUCGAGAAGACAGACGCAAGCGUAAUGUAUGUUGGCGGCCCAGGCAUGCCCGUGACUGUCAUCGAGAAGUUGGAGUAUGCGA
rnacentral:lncRNA from 1 species